AGCAGCGUGGCUCAGUGGAAAGAGCAUGGGCUUUGGAGUCCGAGGUCAUGAGUUUGAAUCCCAGCUCUGCCA
rfam:Ornithorhynchus anatinus chromosome 3, whole genome shotgun sequence.